rnacentral:rRNA from 1 species
GAUGAACGCUGGCGGCGUGCCUAAUACAUGCAAGUCGAGCGAACAGAUAAGGAGCUUGCUCCUUUGACGUUAGCGGCGGACGGGUGAGUUACACGUGGAUAACCUACCUAUAAGACUGGGAUAACUUCGGGAAACCGGAGCUAAUACCGGAUAACAUAUUGAGCCGCAUGGUUCAAUAGUGAAAGGCGGCUUUGCUGUCACUUAUAGAUGGAUCCGCGCCGUAUUAGCUAGUUGGUAAGGUAACGGCUUACCAAGGCAACGAUACGUAGCCGACCUGAGAGGGUGAUCGGCCACACUGGAACUGAGACACGGUCCAGACUCCUACGGGAGGCAGCAGUAGGGAAUCUUCCGCAAUGGGCGAAAGCCUGACGGAGCAACGCCGCGUGAGUGAUGAAGGUCUUCGGAUCGUAAAACUCUGUUAUCAGGGAAGAACAAAUGUGUAAGUAACUGUGCACAUCUUGACGGUACCUGAUCAGAAAGCCACGGCUAACUACGUG